rnacentral:rRNA from 1 species
GAUGAACGCUGGCGGCGUGCCUAAUACAUGCAAGUCGAGCGAACGGACGAGAAGCUUGCUUCUCUGAUGUUAGCGGCGGACGGGUGAGUAACACGUGGAUAACCUACCUAUAAGACUGGGAUAACUUCGGGAAACCGUAGCUAAUACCGGAUAAUAUUUUGAACCGCAUGGUUCAAAAGUGAAAGACGGUCUUGCUGUCACUUAUAGAUGGAUCCGCGCUGCAUUAGCUAGUUGGUAAGGUAACGGCUUACCAAGGCAACGAUGCAUAGCCGACCUGAGAGGGGGAGAGGCGAAAAGGGAACAGAGACGCGGAAAAGAGUCGUCAGGGAGGAAGAAGGAGGGAAUGGUGCGGAAGGGGGGAAAGCAUGACGGAGAUAUGAGGAGAGAGAAACGAAGGGUUUAGGAUCUUAAAACUUGUUGACUAGACAAGAACAAAAGUCUCAGGAAAACUGCGGGCCGGCACGGGAAGUAAUAAGAAAGACACGGCUAACUUCGUG